UUCGAGACUAUUCGAAACGAUCGACGUGUACGGUGAGAUUAACAGCUGAAAAUCGAAGUUUUCUGAGUGAUAAUCGAAGGAAAAGAAAAAUGGGCAAAGCUUAUUGGUUUGAUAGAACUGACAGUGAUGACAGCAAUGAUAGUAGCAAUAGCAGCAACAACAGCGAUAGCAGCAGCAGCAGCGAUAGCAGCAGCAGCAGCGAUAGCAGUAACAGCAGCUAUAAGAGCGACUACAGCAGCGACGAUAGCAUUGACACAGAAUUUGGUACAAAAAAGCUUUUUGAGAAGUGUACUGCAGAAGUCUGUGAUGAUAAAGAGAAUCAUAAUGGUGUAACAAAAUAUACAGUUACAAAAAAGACAGCUGGUGAAGCUUCCUGUAAGAAUGAUGAAGCUAUAGAAAAAAAGAAUCUAAUUGAUGAAUUGAAAGAAUACAAGAAUAAAAGAACAGUUCUCGUUAAUAAUGUUCCAAGAACGACAGAUAUACAAGAUGUAGCUCGUCUGUUUAACCAGUAUGGAAUCAUUAGAAAGAUACAUUUGAGAACUUUAGCCGGCAUGGUUAUUGUAAGUAGGAAAAAGGCAGCGCAGUCUGGAGUACUGCCGGAUAUUCCAAAUCUAAAAACAUACGUAGCAUUCAUAGAAUUUGAGAAGGAAGGAUCUGUGGAAGCUGCAGCAGAAGCUUUGAACGGAAUAAGAACUGCGGAAGGAAAUUUCUUGAAUGUACUGACUGCUCGUCAAAUUCUAGAAUAUAAUCCUGAACCAAAAAAAAUUGUAUUGUUCAGUAAUUUUAAACCUGGACUAGAUCCCGAAAACAAACUUUGGGAAUUAUUUACCACAUGUGGACGUAUAAGACGUUUGAAAGUAUUCCGUAAUUAUAAAACGGGACUAAGUAAUGGAACUGGUUAUGUCUAUAUGGACACUGAAGCGGCUGCACGUACCAUCGUCAGAACUUUCAAGAAAAUUAGAAUUGGGGGACGGUCAAUACGCUUGAAACUGAUGUCUCAUUGUCAGGGUUAUUUUGAUCCAGGAAGUUCGAAUAAAAAUGACGAUAAAGUGAUGAAACAGGGAACGAAACGAACUAGUCCGCAUUGUGAUAAGAAAUUGUCAAAAAAAUUUAAGACUGAUUCAGAAAAGCCUGUAGCAUCUAAUGUUGAACAAAAAACUUAACAAGAAAAAGCAGCAGGGAAAUAACAAAGGAGCGACGUCUGCCGCAUUUCAGAGCCAAAAGGUCGAGUUGAAAAACAAGAAGAUAAAGAAUAGAUUUGAUAAGAAAAAGAAGAAAAUGACAGGAAAACUCACAGCCAAAUCGGCAAAAGCUUAAGCUAACAUCGUAAUGUAUUUAUGGAUUAUUAGAUUUAUUACGUAAUGUUUUUUUUAUAUUCUAAGACAUUUUUCAUGUGAUAUUGAAAAAAAAUAGUAUUAUAAAGAACAAGUUUUUAUAGAAAAUUGAUCAUACACAGAUUUAAACAAAACUACAACUACCUCAAACAUAUAAAAUAUAUUUCUUUUUGUAUUGUAACUGUCGUCAUUGAUUUUUUUAAUAAAUAACGUUUGAUGAGAAAUUUACAUUAUUUUCAAGAAUUUGCCUUCUUCGUUAAGUUUUUGAUUUUACCGUAUAGCUGGGACGGUAAAUACUGCACAUUACUGGACGCGAAUUUCGAACAGAAACGCCUCGUGUAAAAUGUGCUGCAUCCUAGACACACGGCGUGCUUGCACACGCUACAAUCGGCGCCCAAGACCAGGACUUCGCCUCUGUUCGGCAACCUAAACGGAUCCUUCAUGAUGGACAAAAGGAGCACGCGAAAUUGCCGCCCACAUUCGUCGCUCUUUGUUGACUCGUGGAGGCAUUCCGUUGCAUCCGCUCGCUGAUACCAAAUUCGCCUGCUGACAUAUUUCCUCCUUCCUAUAAAGCAACAAGUAACAGAAUCCCCUAUAUGUAUUAUUGAUUUUUGGCGAAUAACAAAUUUAUUUUAUACGUGUAAAUAUAAUACAAAUUUUAUUAUACA